GCCUGGCUGGCUCAGUCAGUAGAGCAUGUGACUCUUGAUCUCAGGGUUUUGAGUUCCAGCCCCAGGUUGGGUA
rnacentral:tRNA from 1 species